UCUGGGGAGACUGGAGAAUGCAGUGCAGGAGCCGCAGGAGCCAAAAAGGGGCACUGGUCCUGCGAAGAGUGGCUCUGUCCAUCCCUGCCUCCCAGUAUGUGCCCACUGUGACCAGAGCUCCAUUUCUCAAAAGAAGCCAGUGAUGCCAAUUACCAUGAGAAAUUUCCUUAUUUUUAACUGUCGAUUAAAAUUUGUACAAGUAUGGUGGGGCAGGCCUGCAAAAUGAUCUCCAAGUGCCUGGCCUUUGAUGCCCAUCCUAAAAGCAUGUGUGGCACUGGAGGGCCCACGUUUCUUUGUUCCUCUUGAGAAGCUGGGGUGGGGGCCGGCUGGGCUCAGGGUGCGGCCCCUCACUUCCCAGGGCUGUGGUCUCGGUGGGGCCUGCACUGUUCCUGGGUGUCCUCGGGCUGAGCCUCUGCCCUGUGAGGACGGCCGCUCAGGCACGAGCCGUCAGCGAAGCCGUGGCUGUGACUCUGUUUUCCGCAGUGGAGCGGAGGCGGAGGGACAAGAUCAACAACUGGAUCGUCCAGCUUUCGAAAAUCAUUCCAGACUGUAAUGCAGACAACAGCAAGACGGGAGCGAGUAAAGGAGGGAUCCUGUCCAAGGCCUGCGAUUACAUCCGGGAGUUGCGCCAGACCAACCAGCGCAUGCAGGAGACCUUCAAAGAGGCCGAGCGGCUGCAGAUGGACAACGAGCUCCUGAGGCAGCAGAUCGAGGAGCUGAAGAAUGAGAACGCCCUGCUUCGAGCCCAGCUGCAGCAGCACAACCUGGAGAUGGUGGGCGAGGGCACCCGGCAGUGACGCCCGCCACCACCACGCAGCCGCCGCCGCCCACACCGGCCUCUGCUGCCC
rnacentral:sRNA from 1 species